ACUUUAUUUACUUUUAUUAGGUGCUCUUCGUUUGUGAGUUUCUUUUUGCAGAACCCACCCUUUCGUGGCUUAUUUUCUUCCUUAUUUUACUGGGUUUGCCUUGGCCUCGAGCUUAUCCCUCUGGGAGCAAGCGAGCUCGUAUUUUAUCUUUUGCUUUUUCAGGUGUCUCGGAUUUGAUGUUGAGGUCAGACCCUUGACUUUGUUUUUAUCUUUGUGUUGAGGUUGUGGCUUCGCUCGUACAUUCGUACUUUCCUUUUACCCCAUUCUUUUGGGUGAGGAUAAAAUCAUAGCUUUUAUUUUGUCAUUUGACCCUUACUAGCUCGGUCCUUCUUUCAUUCGGUCCUUCCAAGCUCGGUCUUACGCAUCUCAGCUCGGUCACCUACCUCACUGAGGUCUUGCACAAGAUUCAGGCUCUUUAGCCUUAUUGUCGCUUCGUCAUCUCAACCGGUUCUUGAGAUGCCAAGUCAUUUUCUGAGCUCGGUCACCUACCUCACUGAGGUCUUGCACAAGAUUCAGGCUCUUUGGCCUUAUUGUCG
rnacentral:lncRNA from 1 species